UUAGAGUUUUUUUCUGGCUCAGGAUGAACGCUAGCGGCAGGCUUAACACAUGCAAGUCGAGGGGCAGCGAGAUCAGUGCUUGCUCUGAUUGUCGGCGACCGGCGCACGGGUGCGUAACGCGUAUGCAACCUACCCAUCACAGGGGGAUAACACUGAGAAAUCGGUACUAAUACCCCAUAACAUCCAGGGAGGCAUCUUCUUGGGUUGAAAACUCCGGUGGUAAUGGAUGGGCAUGCGUUGUAUUAGUUAGUUGGUGGGGUAACGGCUCACCAAGACAACGAUACAUAGGGGGACUGAGAGGUUAACCCCCCACAUUGGUACUGAGACACGGACCAAACUCCUACGGGAGGCAGCAGUGAGGAAUAUUGGUCAAUGGACGCAAGUCUGAACCAGCCAUGCCGCGUGCAGGAAGACGGCUCUAUGAGUUGUAAACUGCUUUUGUACGAGGGUAAACGCAGAUACGCGUAUCUGUCUGAAAGUAUCGUACGAAUAAGGAUCGGCUAACUCCGUGCCAGCAGCCGCGGUAAUACGGAGGAUUCAAGCGUUAUCCGGAUUUAUUGGGUUUAAAGGGUGCGUAGGCGGUCGGAUAAGUUAGAGGUGAAAUCCCGGGGCUCAACUUCGGAAUUGCCUCUGAUACUGUUCGGCUAGAGAGUAGUUGCGGUAGGCGGAAUGUAUGGUGUAGCGGUGAAAUGCUUAGAGAUCAUACAGAACACCGAUUGCGAAGGCAGCUUACCAAGCUACUUCUGACGUUGAGGCACGAAAGCGUGGGGAGCAAACAGGAUUAGAUACACUGGUAGUCCACGCAGUAAACGAUGAUAACUCGUUGUCGGCGAUACAGUGUCGGUGACUAAGCGAAAGCGAUAAGUUAUCCACCUGGGGAGUACGUUCGCAAGAAUGAAACUCAAAGGAAUUGACGGGGGCCCGCACAAGCGGAGGAACAUGUGGUUUAAUUCGAUGAUACGCGAGGAACCUUACCCGGGCUUGAAAGUUAGUGACGGAUCUUGAAAGAGGUCUUCCCUUCGGGGCACGAAACUAGGUGCUGCAUGGUUGUCGUCAGCUCGUGCCGUGAGGUGUCGGGUUAAGUCCCAUAACGAGCGCAACCCCUACCGUUAGUUGCCAGCAGGUCAAGCUGGGUACUCUGACGGGACUGCCGGUGUAAGCCGAGAGGAAGGUGGGGAUGACGUCAAAUCAGCACGGCCCUUACGUCCGGGGCUACACACGUGUUACAAUGGCAGGUACAGAGGGCAGCUACCCAGCGAUGGGAUGCGAAUCUCGAAAGCCUGUCUCAGUUCGGAUUGGAGGCUGAAACCCGCCUCCAUGAAGUUGGAUUCGCUAGUAAUCGCGCAUCAGCCAUGGCGCGGUGAAUACGUUCCCGGGCCUUGCACACACCGCCCGUCA
rnacentral:rRNA from 1 species